UACGGGGGGGGGCAAGCGUUGUUCGGAAUUACUGGGCGUAACGGGCUCGUAGGCGGCCAACUAAGUCAGACGUGAAAUCCCUCGGCUUAACCGGGGAACUGCGUCUGAUACUGGAUGGCUAGAGGUUGGGAGAGGGAUGCGGAAUUCCAGGUGUAGCGGUGAAAUGCGUAGAUAUCUGGAGGAACACCGGUGGCGAAGGCGGCAUCCUGGACCAAUUCUGACGCUGAGGAGCGAAAGCCAGGGGAGCAAACGGG
rnacentral:rRNA from 1 species